AGAGUUUGAUCAUGGCUCAGGACGAACGCUGGCGGCGCGCCUAACACAUGCAAGUCGAACGGAGCUUAGAGAGCUUGCUUUUUAAGCUUAGUGGCGAACGGGUGAGUAACGCGUGAGUAACCUGCCUAGAGUGGGGACGAACAGUUGGAACGACUGCUAAUACCGCAUAAGCCCACGGUGCCGCAUGACACUGAGGGAAAAGGAUUUAUUCGCUUUAGGAUGGACUCGCGUCCAAUUAGCUAGUUGGUGAGGUAACGGCCACCAAGGCGACGAUUGGUAGCCGGACUGAGAGGUUGAACGGCCGACAUUGGGACUGAGACACGGCCCAGACUCCUACGGGAGGCA
rnacentral:rRNA from 1 species